rnacentral:rRNA from 1 species
AGAGUUGAUUAUGGCUCAGGACGAACGCUGGCGGCGUGCUUCAUACAUGCAAGUCGAACGAGAAUCUUACUUCGGUAAGAGGAAAGUGGCGGACGGGUGAGUAAUAUGUAGAGAAUCUGCCCUUAAGCGGGGGACAACAGUUGGAAACGACUGCUAAUACCCCGAUAUGAGCGUACCUGAAAUGGUAUUCUUGAAAACUCCGGUGCUUAAGGAUGAGUCUGCAUCUGAUUAGCUAGUUGGGGGUGUAAUGGACCACCAAGGCGACGAUCAGUAGCUGGUUUGAGAGGAUGAUCAGCCACAAUGGGACUGAGACACGGCCCAUACUCCUACGGGAGGCAGCAGUAGGGAAUUUUGCGCAAUGGGCGAAAGCCCUGACGCAGCAACGCCGCGUGAACGAGAAGCCCUUCGGGGUGUAAAGUUCUGUCAGUAGGGACGAACAAUGACUGUACCUACAGAGGAAGCACCGGCUAACUCCGUGCCAGCCGCCGC